AAACGACUCUCGGCAACGGAUAUCUCGGCUCACGCAUCGAUGAAGAACGUAGCAAAAUGCGAUACUUGGUGUGAAUUGCAGAAUCCCGUGAACCAUCGAGUUUUUGAACGCAAGUUGCGCCCGAAGCCAUUCGGCCAAGGGCACGUCUGCCUGGGCGUCACGCA
rnacentral:rRNA from 2 species